AUUAACGCUGGCAGAGUGCAUAACACAUGCAAGUCGAGCGGGCUUAUCUGCGAUUACAUCAAGGGUAAGCUAGCGGCAAACGAGUGAGUAACACGUAAGCAACCUACCCUUCAGUGGGGGAUAACGCGCCGAAAGGCGUGCUAAUACCCCGUACUAUCCUUGGACGGCAUCUUCUGAGGAUGAAAGGCUUCGGCCAGUGGAGGAGGGGCUUGCGGCCCAUCAGCUAGUUGGCGGUGUAAUGGACCACCAAGGCUAUGACGGGUACCCGGCCUGAAAGGGCGGACGGGCACGACGGCACUGAGACACGGGCCGUACUCCUACGGGAGGCAGCAGUGGGGAAUUUUGGACAAUGGGCGAAAGCCUGAUCCAGCAACUCUGCGUGAGGGACGAAGGUCUUUGGAUCGUAAACCUCUUUUGUCAGGGACGAAUAGCCCGCAAGGGUCUGACGGUACCUGGCGAAUAAGCCACGGCUAACUAUGU
rnacentral:rRNA from 1 species